rnacentral:ribozyme from 1 species
AGCAAUACCUCGCUGAUACGGGGGUGGAUCUGAAGCCUCUAGAAGUUUAACAUAGGCUUUCCACCUCCUACUCCUACCCAAUAGUCCCCGUCGUACAGAACGGUAACAUGUCUCUCAAUUAUCCAGGCUUGGGUAUACGGGGAAACCCAACCCAUUGGACGGAUGGGUUGCAUGGCUAAAUUGAGAGGG